AGUGAACGCUGGCGGUAGGCCUAACACAUGCCAGUCGAACGGCAGCACAGUAAGAGCUUGCUCUUACGGGUGGCGAGUGGCGGACGGGUGAGGAAUACAUCGGAAUCUACUUUUUCGUGGGGGAUAACGUAGGGAAACUUACGCUAAUACCGCAUACGACCUACGGGUGAAAGCAGGGGAUCUUCGGACCUUGCGCGAUUGAAUGAGCCGAUGUCGGAUUAGCUAGUUGGCGGGGUAAAGGCCCACCAAGGCGACGAUCCGUAGCUGGUCUGAGAGGAUGAUCAGCCACACUGGAACUGAGACACGGUCCAGACUCCUACGGGAGGCAGCAGUGGGGAAUAUUUGACAAUGGGCGCAAGCCUGAUCCAGCCAUACCGCGUGGGUGAAGAAGGCCUUCGGGUUGUAAAGCCCUUUUGUUGGGAAAGAAAAGCAGCAGGUUAAUACCCCGCUGUUCUGACGGUACCCAAAGAAUAAGCACCGGCUAACUUCGUG
rnacentral:rRNA from 1 species